GAGCAUCGGGGGCUGACAGAGGGCAAGGCGGCUGGACCCACUGGCAGGAGCUCACAGAACCCGAGGGAGCCGGGACCGAUAGACCAUCCUGGAGGUAGAAUGUGCAUCAGGUCACAAAGAGCCAAAGAGCUGGAAAUGACUGGGUUUGUUGCUGCAUUCCCUCCAGUGUAAUCAGCAGUGGGAGGUGUGGGAGUCCAGAGCAGGCAGAGCACACUUUCCAUGCUCUCUUUCUGCCAGCUGCUGCUGCUGCCUUCCCUCCCAGCCAAGAGUGGGAUUGCUGUGGCCCGAGAGCGAAUUCUUGCGAGGGCUGCGCCAUUGGCUGCAGGCCACUUGAAGAUGCCCACCCUUGUGCCCGCUCACUCCCUUCCCUCUUUCCCCUGUUUGUUGGGGAUUUAACGGAGGAGCAUUUGAGAGCUGGGGGCUUCCUUUGCUCCAGAAGGGGAUGAGGCAGGACGGGGCUCCGCGUUUUCCUGCUGUUUGGGACGGGGAAUGAGGAAAUAAAUCAAACAGAUCGCUUUUAGAUAACUUUCAAUGGGCUCCCUACGUAAUUCUAGUCGUUCACUGGGCUGCGUUGCUUUAAUGGGGUGUUUUGUGUUUCUCAUUAAGAGCUCAGGGGUGCAGCCCUUGUGAAAUGUGGCUGCCUGGACAUUUUGGGCUAAGAUUCAGGUGCUUUGUAAGUCGAACCGAGUUCUCCUGAGUUCAGGGCAUUUGCCCAUCCUGACUGAAUCGAAAGGCCUUGCUCCACACUUGCUGUGGGGUGUGGUUGUGGGUAUAUAUUUACUCUCCUUCCCUAUCUGUCCUGUGAAUUCAUGCAUCACGGUUUACUAAUUUGGCACUUCCAUCUUGCUACCAGCAAGCCCAAAUUUGCAUAGAUAAUUGGGUUAAUUAUCCUUACCCUGAAGGCUUCUGUUUUUCUGCGUUACUCUCAGUUUGCUGAUGAGUCUCUCCUGAAUUUCUCUUGCUUGUGCUGUUGUUGGAGCAGACUUUCUCCUUGCCGAAAUUAGGAAGUUUUAGCGCUAUUUCCGUUCCUUUUCCUUUUUUUGAUCUUGUGCCUGGCCUUUGGAUUUCUGUUUCGUGCUCCUUUCCGCAAAAGGGAGGAACGUGGUGGAGAGGUAGGCGUGUGUAGGGAUGUGAGAACAGCCCACAGGAGGCUGCGGUGCCCGGAGAUGCCCCCUGGGAUGGGGUGGAAGGCCGGUGGAGAGAAGCGUGCACCAUGAAGACACGGCAUUUGCACACGCACUGAACACCUCGGCCACCUUCCCCCUAAUGGCGAGGCGAUGAGGCCCUUGUUGGGGAAGAGCGUCCCUCCCUGUCCUCCUGCGUGAUGCCACAUCUGGAUGCCCGGCUGAUGCCAGGGAUCUCGGGAGCAAGAGUCUGGACCGCUGCUGGAGGGUUGUCGGGAGCUGGCUGGUUUCCUCGUAGCCCCAGGAGACGUUUGGGGCUGGCCAGGAGCCUUUCCUGUGGCGCCUCCCCCACAACCGGCCGAGCAUCUGGAUCCCUCCGAGCCACCAGAUCACAUUGGGCAUUUUAGGGCUGUCUCGCACGAGCUUGUUCUCGCCGGUCUGAACCUCGCUGCUGGUCCGGAUGAACUGAGCUGAGCAGCUACCAAGUUAGGACCAGCACCUCUCGGUCUCCAUCAACCUUCUUGGCGACAGGCUGCUGUUAACCAACCAUGAAACCUGGCCAGUUUUCCCACUCCUUUGGGUGCUUUCUGAUGGCUGCAGUCACCGUGUGCAGCAACUUGAUGCCAAGAUUAACCUUUCAGAGAGGGGACCCUAGCCGCAAGGUCAGCUCCUUCAGCCAGAGGGGCGUUCUCAACUACGACACUUUCCUCUUGAGCACGGACGGUGCGACUCUGUACGUGGGAGGAAGGGACACCAUCCUCGCCCUCGAUAUCACCAGCCCCCCUUCCAUCAGGCUGAAG